ACUUCAGGUCAUGUUUCUGUUGAUUUAACAAAUGACAUAGAAACUCUUAUUUUUCAAAUACAUUUUCCCUCCUGGGUCUCUAGCUCUUUAAGAAUUAACUGUUUUAAAUGAUCUAGUCUUCAUACUUGCAGACAGAGACUUAGCUCUAAUAAUAUGAUUAAUUAGUUUCUCUAUCAGAUAAUAACAUGAAAAAUAUUAGAAUCAGGAAAUAAACUCCAAAGACUAAUCAUUUAAAGAUAUAAUAAGAUAUAUACUAUAUAUAAUAAUCCUGUCAUUAGAUGGACCUCUCAUUUUAAAACAUAAUAAAAUGUGUAGUUUAAAAACCUAAAAUCAGCCCUAUGAAACGUGUUAGAAGCUUGGAAGUUGCCACAAGUCAAAGUGAAACUGCCUUUGCAAAAAAUCAUAAGUGAGGAAAUUAUGUCGGUGAAACAGACCUAACUGACCCCUUCUUCCUUCUAACCUUGAAACUGUGUUUGUUCAUUCCGGGGUGUAGGCCAAACUAGCCUUGGGAAGGAAUUUAUAGUUUAAACUCUGAAAUAAAAUUGAUAACAGUCCUUUCCUGAAAAACCCUUUCUUGCCUGGGGACCAGUCUGCCUUUGUAGGACUAAUAAAUUAGCUACAAGAUUAGAAAUUACGGUUUAGGGGCCAUGCAGCCUCUGACUGCAAGAGUCUGAACCUUCCCAAAAUCGCUCCUGGGAAUAACAUCACUAUGGUAAAACCUAAGAUCAGUGUUUAAGAUAUUUACAGACCCUGCGUUCUGAUAUAGCACAUGACAUCACUCAGAUGACGCCACUCAGACUGAUAAUACAGCUCAGCCAGUUCUGCGAUCCCACCCAGGAAUGAAUGUAAGCCAGCAAGAACUCACUUCGACCCCCUAUGAUUUUACCUUCAACCCAACCAAUUAGCACUCCUCACUUUCCAAGCCCAUACCCGACAAACUAUCCUUAAAAACUCUGAUCUGGGAGACUGAUUUGAGUAAUAAUAAAACUCCGAUCUCCCACACAGCUGACUCUGCUUGAAUUACUCUCUCUCCAUUGCAAUUCCCCUGUCUGGAUAAGCUGGCCCUGUCUAGGCAGCAGGCAAGGUGAACACUUGAUUACAAAAGGAUGAAGAAACUGAAGAAUCAACAACUCUUAGAUCGAUCAGAGAAGCGAGGGCACAGGGCAAACCACUGCCUCCAAAACUGGGUAAGUCAAGAGUCCUACCCACUAUAAACCUAAAUACCAUGGUAAGCUAUUACAGCAUUGGGAACAGAUGGUGAAGUUUUCCAUAAAAGAGAAAGGGAAACAGACCUGUCUGAAGCAAGAAAGCCUGUGUGGAUGAAUAUUGCUUCCAGGAGUCACAUAAUUACAUCUAAAAUCAUAGAAUGUUAGAGCUGGAGGAAUCUUUAGAGUUUGCCCAAGGUCCUUCACCAGCAUUUUACAGAAGAUUCUUCGAUUUAACUGCUCUUAAUUACAUCCCGUUGCACUGGCCCCAUCAAGUUGCUUUAAACAGCCCUUCUAGUCAACAGAGCUGCAGAGAAAAACCUUGAGCUGUCACACUUCAUUUGUGAGAACACUCCAGAGCUUCCUCCAGCUGCUGAUUCCAAACCAGCUUCACAGUGCCUGGAUACAUGUUAUCUUCUGAGAAAGGCCAUCUCUAACCACUCUGUUCUUCCAGUACAAGCAAGCCGCUCCUGGGUCUUAUCUCUAUUUUAUCCACAGAACUCAUUUAUUUCCUUGCUUUUUAUACCUUUAUGCCUGAAUGGAUGUUCCUUGGAAGCAAAUUUUCCUUCUUUACUAUUUCAUUCCUAGUGUCUAUAACAUAAAAUAAGUGUUCCACAAAUUCUCGUAUGAUGAAAGAAUAAUAGAAUAUUAAUAUAAUAGAUAAAUUAAUAAAAUACGUUCACCUAUGUGCACUUUUACCUUAAAUAGUAAUAAUAAGCAGUUUUAACGUGUCUGAUGCUUUUCUAAUGCCAGUGCACAAUGCCUUCCUGUUUAUUUUGGGCCUCUUAGGCAGCCAGCUAACUAGGGAGCUCAUACCACUAAAUGAUUAUUGUGAGAACGGAGCAGGAAAGACAGGCAGUAGAUCCAGGAUUCAUCCAUUUGUAUUAUGUUAAAUACAAUGGUAAUCACACUAUUUUACCCAUUCUUCUCCUAGCUCCUUCUGAAUCCAAGGCAAAUAAACAAACUAUGCAAAGAAAUCAAACAUGACUUCUUCUUGGUCCUAUAAGAAGAUUGUUCAUGCUAUGCUUGUUAGAAGAGUUACAUGUAUACCUAUGAUCUUCGAAGACUAAAGAAAAUAUCAAGGAAACGUAUUUCAAUAAUGAUAUGGUCAAGACAUAGAGUUUCUUAUAUUAAUAAUACAAAGUUCACUUUCUGAAAAAAUGCACAUAUUGUUUAAGAUCGUCACAUAGUUUAUAUAUUUUAAUCGCUCCAUAAUUACGGAAUUAUUUUAAAUAAUAGCAAUAAUUAUAAUUGUAGUAUUUAAUGUCAAUAUUUCUACAAAUUAUAUUUAAGUAAAUAAGUAUAUUGUGAAAGGAGAGGGAUUCAGGAUCAGGGGUAUGUUCAAAAAUCUAUUUGUUUUUGUCAUUGUUGAAUAAAAAUCUCCCAUCUCAAAAUCUUUGUAAAAGGAUAUCCAUGGAAAAAAGAACCUAUUACUUUAUUCUCCAGUCAAAAUUAAAACUGGUUCACAAUGGCCACAUCUUCUAUUUAUACAUAAAACACAGCUUUUAACAUAGACUAAUUUUUGUCUGUUAAAAAUGAAAUUGAGAUUCAGUAAAGAUGGAUUCAAAUUCAAUACGUUAAAUCUAUUGUUUUAAAUAUACCAGGUCAUGUGUGCUCUCUCUUUUCCCUCCAACCCAUUUCACUCCCCUUCUUUCUCCUUUUGAACUGCUGACCCGAGUUAGUAGCCAAACAUAAUAAUACAGUGUUUGAUUCUCUGGAAACCCAUAAAAUUACAAACCAGCAACCACUAGGAUGUUGGCAGAAUUUCUGUGGACAGCAACCAGCAUGGUACUUUUUUUCUUUUUGAAAUGAAGCAGUACAUUGCAAUUGUUGAUACAGUACCAAGGAAGGGAAUAACGUCCACCAUAUGUCGCCCCCACCACCUAACUCUUUUGACUACUUGAGGUUGGGAGAGAGAAUUCAUCUAUUUAAAACAUGAAUGCCUUCUCUUUUAGCCUUUACUAUUUAAAGAUGCCUUUUUUCAUUUUUUUUAUUUUUAUUAAGCAGCAGUGGAGUUUUAUACUACUAUACUAAGUGCGACAGAAGAUAAACAUAUAAAUAAAACAUACCACUACAUGCCUUCAAGAAAAACAAAAUCUAAUAAAAUCUAAAAUCUAAUGGGAACUUCAAGUUUUACUGGAAAUUAGAGACUCUUUCUUCUCACUGCAACAGGAAUAUUUGAUUAGUCGUACAGCUGCAC
rnacentral:lncRNA from 10 species